rnacentral:rRNA from 1 species
UACGGAGGGUGCGAGCGUUGUUCGGAAUCACUGGGCGUAAAGCGCGUGUAGGCGGUCUACUAAGUCUGAUGUGAAAAGCCCCGGGGCUCACCCCCCGGAAGUGCAUUGGAAACUGGCAGACUGGAGUCCCGGAGAGGAGAGUGGAAUUCCGGGUGUAGCGGUGGAAUGCGUAGAGAUCCGGAAGAACACCAGUGGCGAAGGCGGUCUGCUGGGCGGUGGGUCCGCGAGGAUCCAAUAGCCGACACUGAGGCGCGACAGCGUGGGGAGCAAACAGG